rnacentral:rRNA from 1 species
GAUGGGAGCUUGCUCCCUGAGAUUAGCGGCGGACGGGUGAGUAACACGUGGGCAACCUGCCUAUAAGACUGGGAUAACUUCGGGAAACCGGAGCUAAUACCGGAUACGUUCUUUUCUCGCAUGAGAGAAGAUGGAAAGACGGUUUACGCUGUCACUUAUAGAUGGGCCCGCGGCGCAUUAGCUAGUUGGUGAGGUAAUGGCUCACCAAGGCGACGAUGCGUAGCCGACCUGAGAGGGUGAUCGGCCACACUGGGACUGAGACACGGCCCAGACUCCUACGGGAGGCAGCAGUAGGGAAUCUUCCGCAAUGGACGAAAGUCUGACGGAGCAACGCCGCGUGAACGAAGAAGGCCUUCGGGUCGUAAAGUUCUGUUGUUAGGGAAGAACAAGUACCAGAGUAACUGCUGGUACCUUGACGGUACCUAACCAGAAAGCCACGGCUAACUACGUGCCAGCAGCCGCGGUAAUACGUAGGUGGCAAGCGUUGUCCGGAAUUAUUGGGCGUAAAGCGCGCGCAGGUGGUUCCUUAAGUCUGAUGUGAAAGCCCACGGCUCAACCGUGGAGGGUCAUUGGAAACUGGGGAACUUGAGUGCAGAAGAGGAAAGUGGAAUUCCAAGUGUAGCGGUGAAAUGCGUAGAGAUUUGGAGGAACACCAGUGGCGAAGGCGACUUUCUGGUCUGUAACUGACACUGAGGCGCGAAAGCGUGGGGAGCAAACAGGAUUAGAUACCCUGGUAGUCCACGCCGUAAACGAUGAGUGCUAAGUGUUAGAGGGUUUCCGCCCUUUAGUGCUGCAGCUAACGCAUUAUGCACUCCGCCUGGGGAGUACGGCCGCCACGCUGAAACUCAAAGGAAUUGACGGGGGCCCGCACAAGCAGUGGAGCAUGUGGGUUUAAUUCGAAGCAACGCGCAGAAACAUACCCAAGGUCUUGACAUCCUCUGACAACCCUAAAAAAUAGGCCUGUUCCUCUUCCGGGGGACAGAAUGACAGGUGGUGCAUGAUUGUCCUCAGCCUCCUGCCCUGAGAUUGUUCGGUUUAAGUUCCUGCAAUCCAAGCGACAACCCAUUGAAUCCUAAGUGCCUAG